rnacentral:rRNA from 1 species
ACGCUGGCGGCAGGCCUAACACAUGCAAGUCGAGCGCGAAAGCACUUCGGUGUGAGUAGAGCGGCGGACGGGUGAGUAACGCGUAAGAAUCUACCUAGUAGUGGGGGACAACUCGAGGAAACUCGAGCUAAUACCGCAUACGCCCUACGGGGGAAAGCGGGGGACCUUCGGGCCUCGCGCUAUUAGAUAAGCUUGCGUUGGAUUAGCUUGUUGGUGAGGUAAUGGCUCACCAAGGCUACGAUCCAUAGCUGGUCUGAGAGGAUGAUCAGCCACACCGGGACUGAGACACGGCCCGGACUCCUACGGGAGGCAGCAGUGGGGAAUAUUGCGCAAUGGGCGAAAGCCUGACGCAGCCAUGCCGCGUGUGUGAAGAAGGCCUUAGGGUUGUAAAGCACUUUCAAUUGGGAGGAAAAGUUAACGACUAAUACUCGUUAGCCUUGACGUUACCUUUAGAAGAAGCACCGGCUAACUCCGUGCCAGCAGCCGCGGUAAUACGGAGGGUGCAAGCGUUAAUCGGAAUUACUGGGCGUAAAGCGCGCGUAGGCGGCUUUUUAAGUCGGAUGUGAAAGCCCC